rnacentral:rRNA from 1 species
CCCUUAGAUGUCCUGGGCCGCACGUGCGCUACACUGACAUGUUCAACAAGUUUCUCCUAGUUCGACAGGACUGGGAAAUCUUUGAACGCAUGUCGUGAUAGGGAUAGAUCAUUGCAAUUAUUGAUCUUGAACGAGGAAUUCCUAGUAAACGCGAGUCAUCAGCUCGCAUUGAUUACGUCCCUGCCCUUUGUACACACCGCCCGUCGCACCUACCGAUUGAAUGUUUCGGUGAAGAUUCCGGAUAGGACUGAUUUGAUUUAUUUCAUUUCUGACCUAAAAGCUAUCUAAACCUCAACAUUUAGAGGAAGGUGAAGUCGUAACA